GUCAACUGCUUCAUCUGGGGUAACUAACACAGAAAAUGGGACUGAAUACUCAAGCACCUCAAAAGAUGACUAAGUGAAAUAACCAUACUGAUUGGACAGCAGUUCUAUCACUGUUUAAAUGUAUGAUUGUUUGGCUUGCAUUUUGGACGGCAGUUGUAUGCAUAUUGUCCGCAAUCAUCAACUCUUGUAAGCAUGCAAGAGAAACAGAUUUUGGAGGCAUUAAUUUUAGUGUACGUGCCGCACACGGGGCUAAUUGAUUGUGAGAGAGCCCCAUUCAAAUAUUCAAUAGGUCCUAUGUAUUAGUCUAGGUGUUGACUUUGUAUUUUUUCCUUAAUUUUAUUAGACAAGCUAUUACAGACUCUUUUUCUAAACAUCGAUGAUGAUUGAUUAUGCUGUUCUGUACUCCAUUUUUGCCUUGUGAGAAUUUAAAUUGUGUUUGAUUGAUUGUAUUUUCAUGUUGUGUAGUAUCAUUUUUUUCCCUUUUUGGUGAGAGGAGGGUGUUUGAUUCAGGAACAUGAAAAAUUGUGUGGGUUUGUAGUUUGUUCCUUUUUAAACUAAAUGCAUGCUUGCUUUUGCUUGUGC
rnacentral:misc_RNA from 1 species